GUAAGGAAUAUUGGUCAAUGGAGGCAACUCUGAACCAGCCAUGCCGCGUGAGGGAUGAAGGUCCUCUGGAUUGUAAACCUCUUUUAUUUGGGAAUAAACUCCCCGUUUCUACGGGGCUUGAAGGUACCAGAUGAAUAAGCACCGGCUAACUCCGUGCCAGCAGCCGCGGUAAUACGGAGGGUGCAAGCGUUAUCCGGAUUUACUGGGUUUAAAGGGUGCGUAGGUGGGUUGGGAAGUCAGUGGUGAAAUACUUUCGCUUAACGAAGGAACUGCCAUUGAUACUCUCAAUCUUGAAUGCAGUGGAGGCAGGCGGAAUGUGUCAUGUAGCGGUGAAAUGCUUAGAUAUGACACAGAACACCUAUUGCGAAGGCAGCUUGCUACUCUGCUAUUGACACUGAGGCACGAAAGCGUGGGGAUCAAACAGGAUUAGAUACCCGAGUAGUCC
rnacentral:rRNA from 1 species